GAUUUUAUUGCCACAUAGAUGUUUCAAAUAACUUGCCCACACAGGACAAGGUGUACCCUCCUGAGAACUAGACUCAGUUUUUAGACAUUCACAUCUUUCGUUUUUGUCACCACUCUGACAUGUUUUUAAUGUCAGUAUGCAUUUCAUUGGACUGGAAAAUUCUCAUGUUUAGCUCAGAGUCAGAGAUCAAGAACAAAGCAGUGGAAUGUUUUCUUUGAGUGGUGCUAUAGCUACCUAAGUCAUUUUGCCGCAGCAUACACGUCGGAAGAGUACAUCACAUCUUUGGAGAUUUUGUUUUUCUUUUACGCUUCAUUAGUUUGUUUGCUUCUUUUAGCUAAAUGGAACUGACAACGAAGUCUGCAAAUACGCAUUGGCUUAGAUCUUGGAAGCAGAGGGCACCUGGCAAGGAAGGAAGCAAGGAUAGGCCAGUUUUCAGUUAAGGAGGUGGUGUGGAGAAGAAUUGGGGAAAUCAAUAAGGCAGCCCAUCUGCAAUACCUGAUUAUCCUUUUGAGUGUGGCCUCUUUUUGCCAAUUAAGUCCAAAGGUGCCUAUAUUCUUCAAACUGGCAGCGUAGCCACAACUGUUGAUUAUCGCACAGCUUUUGUGGGUUAGGAAUCUAGAAGUGAUUUAGCUGUGUGCUUCUGACUUGGUUAUCUCGCAAAUCAAGCUGUUGGCCAGGGCUGCAGUCACUGAGACUUGAUUGGGGCUGGAGGUUCCUAUUCCAGGCUCCUUCCCAGUGGCUUUUGGCCAGAAACUGCACCAUCAGCCUUUCUUUAAGUCUCUGCGUGACGUGGCUUCCCCACUAAUCUAAUCUCCGACGUGGUGUAUGGUCAUGUCUGCUGUUUUUUCGUUGUGAGGAGACAGUCAUGAAGCCCAGCCCACACCCAGGAGGAGGGAAGAUAGGAAGGUCCUGAGCAUCUAUUGCAAAUCAGUUCUCUCACAGCUCUACAUUCUGCCUCCACAAAAUAAUGAAAAAAUAUAUGUUUUGGGUAAGUCAUCAACUUCAUUUUUUAAUAGGCUCUGGUCAAAAAAAAAGAUGAAGAAUUGGAUGAAUGAGAAAUUUAUCAUUUUUCCCAUAAUUCACUCCAAAAAAUAGAUAUGGUCUCAAAUAGCUGUGAAUGAAUUCAGCAUUUCUGGGGAGUAUAAUAUUUAAAGAAACCCCAUUUAUCACAUUACUUAAAAAAGCAAAGAUAGAGUUCUCAUUGUGGUGCAGUGGGUUAAGAAUCUGACUGCAGUGGCUUGGGUUGCCGUAGAGGUGCAGGUUCGAAUCCUGGCUUGGCACAGUGGGUUAAAGGAUCUGGCAUUGCUGCAGCUAUAGCUUAGGUCGCAGCUGCAGCUUGGAUUCAGUCCCUGGCCUGGAAACUUGUAUAUACUGUGGGUAUGGCCAUAAAUUUUUAAAAAAAUAACUAAGAUGAGUAGAUAAAUAAAAUGUGAUCUAUACAUAACA
rnacentral:lncRNA from 1 species